CCCGCACAAGCGGUGGAGCAUGUGGUUUAAUUCGAUGCAACGCGAAGAACCUUACCUACCCUUGACAUGUAGUGAACUUACCAGAGAUGGUUUGGUGCCUUCGGGAACACUAACACAGGUGCUGCAUGGCUGUCGUCAGCUCGUGUCGUGAGAUGUUGGGUUAAGUCCCGUAACGAGCGCAACCCUUAUCCUUAGUUGCUAGCAGGUAAUGCUGAGAACUCUAGGGAGACUGCCAGUGAUAAACUGGAGGAAGGUGGGGACGACGUCAAGUCAUCAUGGCCCUUAUGGGUAGGGCUACACACGUGCUACAAUGGUCGGUACAGAGGGCCGCAAACUCGCGAGAGUAAGCAAAUCCCAGAAAGCCGAUCUUAGUCCGGAUUGCAGUCUGCAACUCGACUGCAUGAAGUUGGAAUCGCUAGUAAUCGCGGAUCAGAAUGCCGCGGUGAAUACGUUCCCGGGCCUUGUACACACCGCCCGUCACACCAUGGGAGUGGGUUGCAAAAGAAGUAGGUAGUCUAACCUUCGGGAGGGCGCUUACCACUUUGUGAUUCAUGACUGGGGUGAAGUCGUAACAAGGUA
rnacentral:rRNA from 1 species